rnacentral:rRNA from 1 species
GUCUUUUUGAUAAUAAUUUAAAGUCUGGCCUGCCCAAUGAUAAUUUAAAUGGCCGCGGUAUUUUGACCGUGCAAAGGUAGCAUAAUCAUUAGUUUUUUAAUUGAAAGCUUGUAUGAAAGGUUGAACGAGAAAAUUACUGUCUCAAUUUUAUUUAAUAAGAAUUUUAUUUUUAAGUUAAAAAGCUUAGAUAUUUUUAAAAGACGAGAAGACCCUAUAGAGUUUUAUAUUUUUAAUAAUAGAUUUUUAAAUUAUUUAUUAAAUUAUCAAAAAUAUUUUAUUGGGGUGAUAAAUAAAUUUAGUAAACUUUAUUUAUUUUUAAACAUUUAUUUAUGUUAAUAAUGAUCCAAAUUUUUUGAUUAUAAGAUUAAAUUACCUUAGGGAUAACAGCGUAAUUUUUUUUGAGAGUUCAUAUCGAAAAAAAAGAUUGCGACCUCGAUGUUGGAUUAAAAUUUAUUUUUGGUGUAGAAGCUAAAAAAUUAAGUCUGUUCGACUUUUAAAAUUUUACAUGAUCUGAGUUUAAACCGGUGUGAGCCAGGUUGGUUUCUAUCUUUAAAUAAUUAAAAUGUUUUAGUACGAAAGGACCAAAUGUUUAUAAAAUUUAUUUUAUUAUUGAAUAU